GUGCAUCACGUAUACAUUGCUCACAGAGUGAGGGUGGGAGAUGACAGGAAGGGGAGAGACACGAAGGUUCUAACCUCACGGUGGGUGGUAAACGAUAGAUAAGAUGCGCUUCCAUUUUGUCUUUGGACACCACAGGGAAGAACAAGUUUUCUGAAUGUUGAAAAUCCAUAUUUGAAGUCAAUUUAUGAUGGAGAUGAAAAAGGAAGAGAAAAUGAUAAGAAAAAGAUGGCAGAAUAUCGAUAUAUACUUAAAAAAAUAUUACCACGAUAAUCGAGGUGACACAAAAACAUCGUAAAUAUGUACACGACAAAACAGGGAAUAAGAAAUGUGGUAAUCGUUUCACUUUUGAAACUUUAUCGAGUUUGUUGCAAGAAAUGGUAAGCGAUCUCACAUUUCGUAAUCAGCCGAUCUGAUUUGCCUCAUUACGCGCAAGCUUCCUUCUUACGAUAGCUCUUCUUCCCGCAGUUUCUUGGAUAACAAUGAAGCCUAAACCGUGGCACCUUCGGCCCUUGUUUCCGUUCUCACGUUCAUUCGUUCUAAAUGGAAUCAACGAUCUUUUUAUUAGUCACCUUCUCAUUGCUAGUUUGCCGUUUAUUUAGAAAAUUGUCUUGAGAAAGGAUACCACUACUUAAUACCUAGAGAAAUUUUUAUAUAACUAUAUAUACUUAUAUACUAAUUAUGAUAAUAGUAUUUCUUUAAUAUUAA